rnacentral:tRNA from 1 species
GGAGAGGUGGCAGAGUGGUUGAAUGUGGCGGUCUCGAAAACCGUUGUGCGCGCAAGUGUACCGAGGGUUCGAAUCCCUCCCUCUCCGCCA